GACGAACGCUGGCGGCGCGCUUAACACAUGCAAGUCGAACGGAAAGGCCUGCUUUCCCUUGUGGAUUGCGGGUACUCGAGUGGCGAACGGGUGAGUAACACGUGAGUGAUCUGCCCCCAACUUGGGUAUAAGCCUGGGAAACUGGGUCUAAUUCCCGAUAGGACUGCAGGGUGGUGCCUGUGGUGGAAAACGAUUUUCUAGUGGUUGGGGAUGAGCUCGCGGCCUAUCGGCUUGUUGGUGGGGUAAUGGCCUACCAAGGCGGCGACGGGUAGCCGGCCUGAGAGGGUGGACGGCGACAUUGGGACUGAGAUACGGCCCAGACGCCUACGGGAGGCAGCAGUGGGGAAUAUUGCACAAUGGGCGGAAGCCUGAUGCAGCGACGCCGCGUGGGGGAUGACGGCCUUCGGGUUGUAAACUCCUUUCGACCGCGAGGAAGCCACCUGGUUGGAAGGGUGGUGACGGUAGUGGUAGAAGAAGCACCGGCUAACUACGUG
rnacentral:rRNA from 1 species